ACCCGCACAAGCAGCGGAGCAUGUGGUUUAAUCGAAGCAACGCGAAGAACCUUACCAGAUCUUGACAUCCAAUUGACCAUCUUUUAAUCGAGAUUUUGCCUUCGGGUACAAUUGAGACAGGUGGUGCAUGGUUGUCGUCAGCUCGUGUCGUGAGAUGUUGGGUUAAGUCCCGCAACGAGCGCAACCCUUGUGUUUAGUUGCAAACAGGUCAAGCUGUGCACUCUAGACAGACUGCCGUGGACAACACGGAGGAAGGUGGGGAUGACGUCAAAUCAUCAUGCCCCUUAUGAUCUGGGCUACACACGUGCUACAAUGGCCGGUACAACGGGCAGCGAAGGAGCGGUCCGGAGCGAAUCCUAAAAAGCCGGUCCCAGUUCGGAUUGCAGGCUGAAACUCGCCUACAUGAAGUUGGAGUUGCUAGUAAUCGCGAAUCAGAAUGGCGCGGUGAAUACGUUCCCGGGCCUU
rnacentral:rRNA from 1 species